rnacentral:rRNA from 1 species
CUGACCGAGCAACGCCGCGUGAACGAUGAAGUAUUUCGGUACGUAAAGUUCUUUUAUUAGGGAAGAAAAGAUGGUGGAAAAACCAUUAUGACGGUACCUAAUGAAUAAGCCCCGGCUAACUAUGUGCCAGCAGCCGCGGUAAUACAUAGGGGGCAAGCGUUAUCCGGAAUUAUUGGGCGUAAAGGGUGCGUAGGCGGUUAAAUAAGUUUAUGGUCUAAGUGCAAUGCUUAACGUUGUGAUGCUAUAAAAACUGUUUAGCUAGAGUUGGAUAGAGGCAAGUGGAAUUCCAUGUGUAGUGGUAAAAUGCGUAAAUAUAUGGAGGAACACCAGAAGCGAAGGCGGCUUGCURGGUCUUAACUGACGCUGAGGCACGAAAGCGUGGGGAGCAAACAGGAUUAGAUACCCUGGUAGUCCACGCCCUAAACGAUGAGUACUAAACAUUGGGUAAAACYAGUGUUGAAGUUAACACAUUAAGUACUCCGCCUGAGUAGUACGUACGCAAGUAUGAAACUUAAAGGAAUUGACGGGACUCCGCACAAGCGGUGGAUCAUGUUGUUUAAUUCGAAGGUACCCGAAAAACCUCACCAGGUCUUGACAUGCUUUUGCAAAGCGGUAGAAAUAUCGUGGAGGUUAUCAGAAGCACAGGUGGUGCAUGGUUGUCGUCAGCUCGUGUCGUGAGAUGUUGGGUUAAGUCCCGCAACGAGCGCAACCCUUGUUGUUAAUUGCCAUCAUUAAGUUGGGGACUUUAGCAAGACUGCCAGUGAUAAAUUGGAGGAAGGUGGGGACGACGUCAAAUCAUCAUGCCCCUUAUGACCUGGGCUACAAACGUGAUACAAUGGCUGUUACAAAGGGCAGCUAAAGCGUAAGCUUUUGGCGAAUCUCAAAAAAGCAGUCUCAGUUCGGAUUGAAGUCUGCAACUCGACUUCAUGAAGUUGGAAUCGCUAGUAAUCGCGAAUCAKCAUGUCGCGGUGAAUACGUUCUCGGGGUUUGUACACACCGCCCGUCAAACCACGAAAGUUGGCAAUACCCAAAGCCGGUGGCCUAACUUCGCAAGAAGAGGGAGCCGUCUAAGGUAGGGUUGAUAAUUGGGGUUAAGUCGUAACAAGGUAUCCCUACCGGAAGGUGGGGAUGGAUCACCUCCUUUCUAAGGAAAAAAGUUAUCAUCUUCAGUUUUGAGAGACUUAAAAAAGUUUUUCGUUUUUU